CCUACGGGUGGCAGCAGUGGGGAAUAUUGCACAAUGGGGGAAACACUGAUGCAGCGACGCCGCGUGAGUGAAGAAGUAAUUCGUUAUGUAAAGCUCUAUCAGCAGGGAAGAAAAUGACGGUACCUGAGUAAGCAGCUCCGUACAACUACGUGCCAGCAGCCGCGGUACUACGUAGGGGGCACGCGUUAUCCGGAUUUUCUGGGUGUAAAGGGAGCGUAGACGGCAGUGCGAGUAUGGAGUGAAAGGCGGGGGCUCAACCCGCGGACUGCUCUGGAAACUGUACGGCUGGAGUGCAGGAGAGGUAAGUGGAAUGCGUGGUGUAGCGGUGAAAUGCGUAGAUAUUAGGAGGAACACCAGUGGCGAAGGCGGCUUACGGGACUGUAACUGACGUUGAGGCUCGAAGGCGUGGGGAGCGAACAGGAUUAGAUACCCUGGUAGUC
rnacentral:rRNA from 1 species